rnacentral:tRNA from 1 species
GGAGCAGUACUCAAGAGGCUGAAGAGGCGCCCCUGCUAAGGGUGUAGAUCGGGAAUAAACUGGUGCGAGGGUUCAAAUCCCUCCUGCUCCG